AUGUCAUACUCGGACGACGACAGUCUCCCGGGGGAGUGCAGCUGGUGCCACGAUGAUCGAGGUAUGUGCGACAGGUUCGUUGAGCUGGAUGAAGAUCGGCGCUUCAGCAUUAAACUCAAGGAGACCUUCGAUGUUGAAACGCUUAUCUCAUGCCAUGCAAGACGCUAUGUCUUGGAGAGGCUGGGUUUUGAAGACCAUGAAAAUUUUCAAACAAAGAAAAUACACCUAAGGACCCAUCAUGAUAUCGAUUUUGAAGUAAAUAUGUACAAUUCUCAAAGCGUAACCCAUUUUGGUUGCCAAAAUUGGGAAGCACUUUGCAAAAUGUAUGGUUUUUAUGAGGGUAUGAUUGUCACCAUGGAUCUUGGUGAUCCUGACAUCGAGCAAGACAAUAUGGACAUUUGGGUCCUUGUUGAUACGCUUCCAAUUCUACCGCAAUCUUAUUUUGAAUCUUCAAAGAAUGUGCAGAAGAUGGUAGACAAAACCCACUACACUGAUGGCUCCGAAUUAACUUAUAAGGAGAAAAAUUAUCUGAUUGCUUAUUGUACUUUUUUUGAGAAUUACAAUACCUAUUAUCGAACUCCUCCAAAUUAUGGUGAAUACGUGCCACUAGUGCACGCGUUGAACCGCGGUAACUUCAAUGGAGAUACCCUGUUAUGA
rnacentral:rRNA from 1 species